rnacentral:rRNA from 1 species
GACGAACGCUGGCGGCGUGCCUAAUGCAUGCAAGUCGCACGCUCCUCCUUCGGGAGGGGAGUGGCGAACGGCUGAGGAACACGUGCGAACCUAUCCCGCUGUGGGGGACAACCCGGCGAAAGCCGGGCUAAUCCCGCAUACGCUCCAACGAGGAAAGCGUGGCAACACGCGCAGCGGAGUGGGCGCGCGGCCCAUCAGGUUGUUGGCGGGGUAACGGCCCACCAAGCCCGUGACGGGUCGCNGGUCUGUGAGGACGACCAGCCAGACUGGGACUGAGAAACGGCCCAGACUCCUACGGGAGGCAGCAGCAAGGAAUUUUCGGCAAUGGGCGCAAGCCUGACCGAGCAACGCCGCGUGCAGGAUGACGGCCUU